GGGGAUGUGGCUCAGUGGUAGAGCACUUGUCUAGCAUAUAUGAGGCACUGGGUUAGAUUCUCAGUACCA
rnacentral:tRNA from 1 species